UGAAGGAGCCUUGCAUCAGCAGCUUCCCCAGGUCCCCAAGGUUUCCCUGUAACACAGGACACGUGCUGGGGCAUGCAAGGCAGGUGAACUCAGGCUGGCUGGCAUCCCAUGCACAUUGGAAAGACGCACACCGCAGUUAUCCUUGCAGCACAUUCCAGAGGGGCGAAUUAGGGGAGGUGGCAAAAGACUGGACAGUCACUGCAGGGGUGCGGCCAGGGGAAAGAGGAGGCAUGGCACGGAGGAGCCACAGACACUACUGUGAAGAAGGGACAGCACUUAGAACCCGAAUCCAUAGUAGGUUUCAGUUAGCCACAUGUCCCCAGGCCCUAUUAGGUGUAAAAGGUGUGUCACUGGGCUGAGGCAGGGAUGGAUAGGGAUUAUGGAACCUGAGCUUCAUACUCGACUGUUAUAAAUCUAAAACUAUUAAAAAUAAACACAACCUAGUCAUUAAAGAAAACCAGAAAAUGAAUGCUAAACGGACGUUCAGAGAAGCAAACCCUUCGAUGUUGA
rnacentral:lncRNA from 1 species